GGCCUCAUCGUCUAGUGGUUCAGGACGCUGCCCUCUCAAGGCAGAGAUCACGGGUUCAAAUCCCGUUGGGGCCACCA
rnacentral:tRNA from 1 species